rnacentral:misc_RNA from 1 species
AGCAUGCCAUGUUUGAGAUUUUUUAUAAAAUCAUAACUUCAAAUUCAAUUUUAGCAAGUAGACUUCCUAAUCCCUUUGGCUAUUGUAAAUAUGAAUAUAGUUAGAUGCUCAUCCCAUUGGAUGAGCACGAAGCAUGGUCGUGUCCUAGAGCAAUAUUUUCCUAAAUGAAAUUUGCAUUCUUUUAGGAGUAGGACAUGUAUGAUUUCUUAAUGGGAUACUUGAGUUUUAAAUUUGUGUAAAUAGGUAUUAAACCAACAAAUUU